GACGAACGCUGGCGGCGUGCUUAACACAUGCAAGUCGAACGGAAAGGCCCUGCUUUUGUGGGGUGCUCGAGUGGCGAACGGGUGAGUAACACGUGAGUAACCUGCCCUUGACUUUGGGAUAACUUCAGGAAACUGGGGCUAAUACCGGAUAGGAGCUCCUGCUGCAUGGUGGGGGUUGGAAAGUUUCGGCGGUUGGGGAUGGACUCGCGGCUUAUCAGCUUGUUGGUGGGGUAGUGGCUUACCAAGGCUUUGACGGGUAGCCGGCCUGAGAGGGUGACCGGCCACAUUGGGACUGAGAUACGGACCAGAAUCGUACGGGAGGCAGCAGUGGGGAAUAUUGCACAAUGGGCGGAAGCCUGAUGCAGCAACGCCGCGUGCGGGAUGACGGCCUUCGGGUUGUAAACCGCUUUCGCCUGUGACGAAGCGUGAGUGACGGUAAUGGGUAAAGAAGCACCGGCUAACUACGUG
rnacentral:rRNA from 1 species